GACGAACGCUGGCGGCGUGCUUAACACAUGCAAGUCGAACGGAAAGGCCCUGCUUUUGUGGGGUGCUCGAGUGGCGAACGGGUGAGUAGCACGUGAGUAACCUGCCCUUGACUUUGGGAUAACUUCAGGAAACUGGGGCUAAUACCGGAUAGGAGCUCCUGCUGCAUGGUGGGGGUUGGAAAGUUUCGGCGGUUGGGGAUGGACUCGCGGCUUAUCAGCUUGUUGGUGGGGUAGUGGCUUACCAAGGCUUUGACGGGUAGCCGGCCUGAGAGGGUGACCGGCCACAUUGGGACUGAGAUACGGCCCAGACUCCUACGGGAGGCAGCAGUGGGGAAUAUUGCACAAUGGGCGGAAGCCUGAUGCAGCAACGCCGCGUGCGGGAUGACGGCCUUCGGGUUGUAAACCGCUUUCGCCUGUGACGAAGCGUGAGUGACGGUAAUGGGUAAAGGAGCACCGGCUAACUACGUG
rnacentral:rRNA from 1 species